CCUCCGCCCCGCCCCGCGCCCCCACGUGCUGCCAUCCGGCCAAUGGGCGGUCGGCGCGCGCGGACCCGGAUCAGGAAACUGCGCGGGGCCGUGAUGGAUGCUGCCUUCCCCACCCGGGCGGGAGGACGGUGCGGCGGCUCGGCUUCCUCGGCCCCCCAACCUGGACUCCGGCGGAGAGGUUGAGGCCUGUCGGGCUGCGGGCCCCCCCCCCUCCCAGACCCGUUUCUGCCCACGCCCGUCCUAGGCCUCGGGGCAGCCGGUCGCCGCAGCUCAACGCCGACCUCCAGUCCAGCCAGGCCUCGUGGGGGUCGUCCGAGGGGGCACAGUUUGUACAUCAUUUUCCAUUUAGAGAUUUGGAACCGUCCUGUAUUGCGGUUGAUGGAGGACAAAACAUGCCUCCUUUACCGGGAGCUAUUGUGAGACCUCCACCCUAGAAUAGGAAUGGAGAGGCGAAGCCUGCACAAACCCUGCUUUGAAUCCAGUGACUUCGCGUUUCAGAACAACCCCCAAACCAAAACACGCUUCAGACAGAAUAAGACCCUUGCCGGACUGAUGAUCAUCAACCGAUCUUUUCUAACUUUUUCUUCUCCCUCCCCCCCUUUCGGUUGCUGUUUCCUCAGGCAGGAUCUAGGGCGAGGGCUAUACUUACAGGACAGUCCGUAAUUUCUGAACUGCUAAAAAUUAGCAUAUUAACGAUAUCAGUAGCUCCGGAAAAGAGGGAGAAGGGACUGUUGCCUGCCAUUUAGUAAUUGAAAUUUGAUGAGUAAACUAAUUAUGCCAUUAUUAACAAAUAAAUUACUUAUUAAUUCCA